rnacentral:miRNA from 2 species
UCAGUUAUCACUGUGCUGAUGCU